UACGGAGGGAGCUAGCGUUGUUCGGAAUCACUGGGCGUAAAGCGCACGUAGGCGGAUUGUUAAGUCAGGGGUGAAAUCCCGGAGCUCAACUCCGGAACUGCCUUUGAUACUGGCGAUCUUGAGUCCGGAAGAGGUGAGUGGAACUCCUAGUGUAGAGGUGGAAUUCGUAGAUAUUAGGAAGAACACCAGUGGCGAAGGGCGGCUCACUGGUCCGGUACUGACGCUGAGGUGCGAAAGCGUGGGGAGCAAACAGGG
rnacentral:rRNA from 1 species